CUCAGCAGGUCUAGUAAACAGUCUGUUACACAGUCACUCAGCAGGUCUAGUAAACAGCCUGUUACACAGACACUCAGCAGGUCUAGUAAACAGCCUGUUACACAGUCACUCAGCAGGUCUAGUAAACAGUCUGUUACACAGUCACUCAGCAGGUCUAGUAAACAGCCUGUUACACAGUCACUCAGCAGGUCUAGUAAACAGCCUGUUACACAGUCACUCAGCAGGUCUAGUAAACAGCCUGUUACACAGUCACUCAGCAGGUCUAGUAAACAGUCUGUUACACAGUCACUCAGCAGGUCUAGUAAACAGUCUGUUACACAGUCACUCAGCAGGUCUAGUAAACAGUCUGUUACACAGUCACUCAGCAGGUCUAGUAAACAGUCUGUUACACAGUCACUCAGCAGGUCUAGUAAACAGCCUGUUACACAGUCACUCAGCAGGUCUAGUAAACAGUCUGUUACACAGUCACUCAGCAGGUCUAGUAAACAGCCUGUUACACAGUCACUCAGCAGGUCUAGUAAACAGCCUGUUACACAGUCACUCAGCAGGUCUAGUAAACAGCCUGUUACACAGUCACUCAGCAGGUGGGCAGCAGGUCUAGUAAACAGCCUGUUACACAGUCACUCAGCAGGUCUAGUAAACAGUCUGUUACACAGUCACUCAGCAGGUCUAGUAAACAGCCUGUUACACAGUCACUCAGCAGGUCUAGUAAACAGCCUGUUACACAGUCACUCAGCAGGUCUAGUAAACAGCCUGUUACACAGUCACUCAGCAGGUCUAGUAAACAGUCUGUUACACAGUCACUCAGCAGGUCUAGUAAACAGUCUGUUACACAGUCACUCAGCAGGUCUAGUAAACAGUCUGUUACACAGUCACUCAGCAGGUCUAGUAAACAGUCUGUUACACAGUCACUCAGCAGGUCUAGUAAACAGUCUGUUACACAGUCACUCAGCAGGUCUAGUAAACAGCCUGUUACACAGUCACUCAGCAGGUCUAGUACACAGUCUGUUACACAGUCACUCAGCAGGUCUAGUAAACAGUCUGUUACACAGUCACUCAGCAGGUGGGCAGCAGGUCUAG
rnacentral:lncRNA from 1 species